CACACCAGCACUGCACAGCACACAGCAUUGCACACCAGCACAGUUUUGCACAGCAUGCCGCACUGCCCAGCAUGCACCAUUGCACACCAGCACAGCAUUGCACAUCAUGCAGCACUGCCCAGCAUGCAGCAUUGCACACCAGCACAGCAUUGCACAUCAUGCAGCACUGCACAGAACACAGUAUUGCACACCAGCACUGCACAGCACGCAGCCCUGCACACCAGCACCGCGUUGCACAGCACACACCAUUGCACACCAGCACAGCGUUGCACAGCACACACCAUUGCACAGCACACAGCACUGCACACCAGCACAGUUUUGCACAGCAUGCCGCACUGCCCAGCAUGCACCAUUGCACACCAGCACAGCAUUGCACAUCAUGCAGCACUGCACACCGUGCAACACUGCACAGCACACAGCAUUGCACACCAGCACAGCGUUGCACAGCACGCAGCAUUGCACACGGCGGCCCCACC
rnacentral:lncRNA from 1 species